rnacentral:rRNA from 1 species
CUACGAGUGGCAGCAGUGGGGAAUUUUGGACAAUGGGCGAAAGCCUGAUCCAGCAAUACCGCGUGCAGGAAGAAGGCCCUCGGGUUGUAAACUGCUUUUGUACGGAACGAAACGGCGCGCUCUAAUAAAGUGCGCUAAUGACGGUACCGUAAGAAUAAGCACCGGCUAACUACGUGCCAGCAGCCGCGGUAAUACGUAGGGUGCGAGCGUUAAUCGGAAUUACUGGGCGUAAAGCGUGCGCAGGCGGUUUGGUAAGACAGGCGUGAAAUCCCCGGGCUCAACCUGGGAAUUGCGCUUGUGACUGCAAGGCUAGAGUACGGUAGAGGGGGGUAGAAUUCCGCGUGUAGCAGUGAAAUGCGUAGAUAUGCGGAGGAACACCGAUGGCGAAGGCAGCCCCCUGGACCUGUACUGACGCUCAUGCACGAAAGCGUGGGGAGCAAACAGGAUUAGAUACCCCCGUAGUC